rnacentral:rRNA from 1 species
GACGAACCGAGCGAACGUUGUUCGGAAUCACUGGGCUUAAAGGGCGCGUAGGCGGCUUGCCAAGUCAGGGGUGAAAUCCUGGAGCUCAACUCCAGAACUGCCUUUGAUACUGAGGAUCUUGAGUUCGGGAGAGGUGAGUGGAACUGCGAGUGUAGAGGUGAAAUUCGUAGAUAUUCGCAAGAACACCAGUGGCGAAGGCGAACUCACUGGCCCGUUACUGACGCUGAGGCGCGAAAG